GUUUGCUAACAUUUAAAACUCUUCUCCUCUGAAACUAUUGUGCCUUAUACUUUUUAAUCUUAAAUGAAUGUUCCUUUAGGAAUCUUGUUUAUGAAUUCUAUCCGAUUUUUGUAUCCAUCAACAACAUGUCCGCCAUGUCUAAAUAUAGAACAUAGGGGUCAAAUGCAGAUCCUGCUUAUAUCUCAGAAACUAAAGCAUUUAC
rnacentral:lncRNA from 1 species